UUGGUGACAGAGAAAGGCAGUGUAAUGCAGGGGGAAGCACAGGUUGACAUAAAGAAACACAAUGUGCUGCGCGGUGUGGAGAACAAGGCAUAUCGCUCAAGUGUCACAAGUUAGACGGGAAUGUCCUGAUUUCAGCCCCACCAUCUAUCAGCACCAUCAUCCCAACAGUUGGAACGUUAGGAGAGUCAAUAACAGAAAGCAGUGGUCAGCUACAUAUAUCCAGCAUGGUGAUAAAAAGGAAGGACACUAAUAUUUUUUGUCUCAAUGUGGACCUGGACCAAUGUUGGCAAGCCAUGAAACAG